UACGUAGGGGGCUAGCGUUGUCCGGAAUCAUUGGGCGUAAAGCGCGUGUAGGCGGUCCGGUAAGUCCGCUGUGAAAGUCGGGGGCUCAACCCUCGGAUGCCGGUGGAAACUGUCUGACUUGAGUACCGGAGAGGUGAGGGGAACUCUCGGUGUAAGGGUGAAAUCUGUAGAUAUCGAGAGGAACACCAGUGGCGAAGGCGCCUCACUGGCCGGUAACUGACGCUGAGCUGCGAAAGCAAGGGGAGCAAACAGG
rnacentral:rRNA from 1 species